rnacentral:lncRNA from 1 species
CAGCCUUGUUCACACUGUUUCCAUUUCUGUUGAGGUCAUCUCUGUUCUGAGCCAAAACUGCUCUUUCAACACUUUUUUUUUUUUUUUUUUUUUGAGACAGAGUCUCACUCUGUCGCUCAGGCUGGAGUGCAGUGGUGCGAUCUCGGCUCACUGCAACCUUUGCUGUCCGGGUUCAAGCAAUUCUCCUGCCUCGGCCUCCUGAGUAGCUGGGAUUACAGGUGCCUGCCUCCGUGCCCAGGGGAAGCUGGCCACAUUGUAAGAAGUCGGACUAUGCUGAGACUGUCAUGAUGACAGAAAACCCAAGCUAGCCAGGUGGAGAGAUCACACAGAAAGAGAUGCCUGGCCAGCUGUUACCUGAUAUGCCAUCAUGUAAGUAAAAAGUCCACCUUGGAUGGUCCAGCUCAUAGAUGCCAUGUACAGCAGAGGUGAGCCAUUCCUGCCAAGCCCUGCCCAAUUGCAGAAUUGUGAGUAAAUAAAUAAUUACUAUUGUUUUAAGCCACUAUAUUUUGGGAUGAGUUGUUACAUAGCCAUUGAAAACCAAAACACCUCUCUCCACCAAGUCAUUUCCAUCACUUCCUUCAAGACGGAGGCCAAGUCACCUACAUUGGAAACGUACCUGACAAGCUCAAUACAGCUCAUCUUAUUUUAGAAUUUGGUAGUUUGGAUUAUGCAGUUCUAUGCCUGCUUUUGGUCAGUUUCAUACAUUUACCUAUCCCUAAAAUUAAUAAUGACAAUGGCCAAUGCUGAGCAUCAUGGAUCAGGCACUGUGGCUGGGAAUAAUGUUAUUCCUAUUUUACAGAUGAGGAAACUGCGGCACUGAGCGGUUAAGCACCCUAUCCAAAGGUGGUUCUGUAUAAGUACCCUUCCCAAUGUCCUUGUCCCUCUAUUGCUUUGGUGAUAUGCACUUUGAACUUGAAGUGCUAAAAAGGAAGCUGAUGUGGAGACAACAGAAUGGCAUCUGUUUUGCAGGCAAGAAGAUAAAGGAAGGACAGAGGUUAAACUAAGAGAUGCAGAAAUUAUAGUAUAUCAGCCAGGUGUGGUGGCUCAUGCCUGUAAACCCAGCCCUUUGGGAAGCCGAUGCGGGCGGAUCACGAGAUAUUAAUCCAAGGAACAAUACUGACGAAUUUCACGGACAAAAUACUAAGAAGGAAAUCAAGUGAAUCAAGCGGAGAAGAAAGACAGUGGAAAAAGAAAACUGAAA